ACGGAAGGCAGCAGUGGGGAAUAUUGCACAAUGGGGGAAACCCUGAUGCAGCGACGCCGCGUGAGUGAAGAAGUAUUUCGGUAUGUAAAGCUCUAUCAGCAGGGAAGAAAAUGACGGUACCUGACUAAGAAGCCCCGGCUAACUACGUGCCAGCAGCCGCGGUAAUACGUAGGGGGCAAGCGUUAUCCGGAUUUACUGGGUGUAAAGGGAGCGUAGACGGUAGUUUAAGUCUGAUGUGAAAGCCCGGGGCUCAACCCCGGACGUGCAUUGGAAACUGGGCAACUAGAGUGCAGGAGAGGUAAGCGGAAUUCCUAGUGUAGCGGUGAAAUGCGUAGAUAUUAGGAGGAACACCAGUGGCGAAGGCGGCUUACUGGACUGUAACUGACGUUGAGGCUCGAAAGCGUGGGGAGCAAACAGGAUUAGAUACCCUGGUA
rnacentral:rRNA from 1 species